rnacentral:ncRNA from 19 species
CUUUGUGGUUAUGAAAUCGGUUUGCGCUCCAUGGAGUGCGAUUAAAAGGGAACGCCGUGCGAAUCGGCGACAGUACCCGCUGCUGUGAUUCUCGCCGAACCUGGGCUACCAUCAGCCACUGCAAUCCAUCUGAGCGCUUGCGGGAAGGCUCGCCCACGGGGAGAGAUAAGUCAGAAGACCUGCCUGUUUCAGAGAAACUUUA